rnacentral:lncRNA from 1 species
CUUCUGUGUGUUCAGUACUUCAGCAGUAUGUAACCAAAGAAUAAACUCGAUUCAGUAAGUAAACUGGGCCAAACCAUUGCUCUGACCUCAAUGAUGGCACUUCCUAGUUAAAUGAAGGUUAACUAAAAAUACUGUAGAUGCCAGGUCUGUGUGGUGAAUAUUCAUCAGAUCAGGGUGAGGAUGAUGAUGAAGAGAGACUGAAAGUAAAUGAGAGGAAAGUUGAGCAUGGCAUUCCAUUACACAUUAGAGGGAAAAAAUGUAAUUCCUCUGUUUAACUUUGUUGUGCAUAGUCACUUCUCUCACCUUUCCUUCCCAUUGCCAAUGGAAGUGUUUUUUAUUCUGCCAAGGAACAAACACACACUAGGGAGGGAAACCGCGUACCCCUUCCCACCUCUAUUCUACUCAAACCUCCUAAUUCCGGCUCCUCCACCAUUGCAACUCAGCAAAUAUAGCGAGACACCAAGAAGGCAAAUGUUUCAGCACCAUGGACAGAGGUGAAAGGAGGAUUCUGAGAGCUGGCAUUCAGCACCACUGGACAGUGGACAGCAGCCAUCUCAGGUGAAGCUUCUCCAAUACACCACUUUUGAUCAGGGCCCAUAGGACUCUGGUCAAAAGUAGUGCACUAUGUAGGGAAUAAGGUGUCAUUUGGGACACCACCCUUGACACUGCAUCUACAUCCUACUUAUGGAGAGUCACUGGAUUUUGCCCCUGUGGAGUAUAUAGUUGUCAGGGCAUGGCUGGCGUGUGAAUGAGAAAGGUCUGUUAGCGACUCAGGACACGAGAAAGGUGAGAAUGGACGGAGAAUGUGUGUGUGUGUGCCUGUGUGUGUGUGAGGGCGUGUGUGUGUGUGGACCAGAAUGUCCUUACAAGUGACAAGAAUGUCCUGACAACAUAGAAAAACAAGAACAAUUCAGAAACCACUUAGCAUGUCCUGAAAAGUAAAAAUUAUAUUUUAGGUUUAAGGGUUAGGUUAAAGUUUUGGGGUUAAGCUUGGGGUUAAGGUUAGGGUUAAGGUUAGGGGUUUGGGUUAAUGUUAGGGUUAGGGUAAGGGUGAGGAUAAGGGUUAAGUUAGGUUUAGGUUUAGGGUUAGGGGUUCAGGAAAAUAGGAUUUUGAAUGGGAAUACAUUAUUACUCCCCAAAAUGUCCUGACAAGUAAAGAAAACAUAGUUGUGUGUGAGUGCAUGUGUGCGUGUGCGUAUACUGUAUGAAGUGGAUUCACACCUCAGGGCCUGGGGGAGGGGAUGUGGGGAUGAGAGGAGAGUAAGGAGAGUGGGAUGGGGUCAGAAGAUGGAGGGGAAAACAAAGGGAGUGAAAUGACCUUGUGCCUCACUGUGGUGACACUGGAUGAAAAGGGUCCAUAGCAGCAGAUAACAAGAAUCCCGUCUUUUCUGCUGUGUUCUAACUGUAAUUUUGAAUUUGGAUGUCACACAUGAGUGUGGAAACAGUGUGGUCGAACUGACAACUGGAGAAACAAGGGAGUGAGAAGCUGUUCAGAAAAUACCUCAAAGAAGAUAAUGCUAAAGGGAGUAGCUAACUCUAUAUGUUUUAUUUAGCUUAAUAACUAGAAUCAAGAAUGUUAGCUAAUUUGGCCAGAAGCCAGUAGGGCUAGCUAGCUAGACUUGAUGGGGGGAAAAAGCUAACUUCCUUUCAGACAAAUAAACGUUUACCCCCUUUCCAGCCUCAAGGUGACAGCUAACAUUUUAAAACGUUCAUGCGUAUUUUGUUUUCAUGGUUAAUAUAAGCUAACCAGCAACCUAAUUAACUAGCAACUUGACUAGCUACCCAACUAAUAAUUUUAGGGAGAGAGAACAUUUUUGAAAUGUUACACAUAAAGUUCCCCUAAUGUUUAUUUGGGACCACCAGGCGACGUUCUGAUACACUGAAAUGCUCCUGCGACAUUAGCAUGAAACAUGUCUAGAAUAUUAUCUUAUAUUCUGAGAACAUGGCAACCAUGUUCUGUAUAUGUUUAGUGUGAUGUUGAUGGAAUAUUCAACCAACACUCAGAAAACUUGACACAUGAAUGUUCUUGCAACAUUCCCAAAGUUGUGGGAAUGUUUGUUAUUAGCUGGGUAGCUAGUUCCAAUUAGUUUUCUUGUCAUGAAUGAAGCAGGUAGAGUAGCUACGUUGUGGUAUGGCUAUGUGAAAUGACAAUAUUUCUUGCAAUAUCAACACAAUUUGGAUUAAUGAUUUACACAUUGACAGUUUGGAGUGGAUCACAGACCAACACCCCACUGGUCACACUGGUUUAACCAACAUUGUUUCCACAUCAUUUCAAUGAAAUUACAUUGAACCAAUACGGAAUAGACGUUGAAUUGAAACCUAGUACUGCCAUGCAAUUAAUUAUUUUAUUAGGGUUGUCAAAACAUUUUAGUCCCUAGCCUAUUUCUUCAAAGUUUUUAGCUUGUAGGUAAAGUCUUCGUAUGAGAAUUGCACAGGGAUAGCCCUCUCAGAGAGCGGCCACUUGUUGGACUAUUCAAGGAGAGUUGGGGUGAAGCAUUAGGUUGCUAUUAAAACAAAUUGAAUUGCUUUCAUGGAGGAUCGGCUUGAAUUGUGAGGAUGACCACACAAUUAAUUGUAUUUAUAAGGGCACAGGGCGAGACCCAGAUGCAGACACGGGAGGUAGAUGGUUGGAGUCUCUGAUAUUUAUUGUAAUCCAAGGGGCAGGCAAGAGAAUGGUCAUGGACAGGCAAAACAUCAUAAACAAGGUCAGAGUCCAGGAGGAUGGCUGGGAAAGGAUGGCCCCUACUCCCAUGUCGGAAGCGUCAACCUCAACCACAAACUGACGAGUCGGUCCGGAUGGAUGAGGAUGGGGGCAGUAGGGAAUCGCUGCUUUAUAUCCCCAAAAACCUUGUCCGCUGCUGGAGACCAUGUGAACGGUACCUUGGGAGAGGUGAGUGCAGAGAGGGGGGGGGGCCCCAGGUUGCUGUAGCCCCGAAUGAAACGGCGGUAGAAAUUAGCAAACCACCGAAAAUGUUGUAGCUGCACCCUGGAUGUGGGCUGGGGCCAGUCCACCACCGCUCUCACCUUUUCUGGAUCCAUCUGAACAUUCCCUUCAGCGAUGAAGUAUCCUAGAAAGGAGAUAGUGGAGCGGUGGAACUCACACUUCUCAGCUUUUACAAACAACUGAUUUUCCAGGAGGUGCGGUCAAACAUGGAGAAUGUGUUCCUGGGCAGAACGAGAGAACCAGGAUAUCGUCGAGGUAGACAAAAACAAAACGAUUCAAUGUCCCGGAGCACAUCGUUGAGCAGGGCCUGGAAGACAGUUGGUGAGUCCAACCCAGGAUUAAACCCGUGGUCCAGUCAAUAUCGGGGUUGUGCUUCUGGAGCCAAGAAAAUCACAAAACAAUAGGGAUGUGGGGAGACUCAAUGAGGAGAAGCUAUAUUGACUCACUGUGGUUUCCAGAUACCCACAUAUUAGGCUGUACAAACCCACCACUAAUAGUAAAAAGUUGCUGGGUGGUUGGGCAGUCUCAGAGGUGGCUGCGAUGGUCAAAACCCGGGAGGACUAGCAAAAGAGAGAUAAGAAAAAACAGGCGCAUGGAAAAGCACUCUGGUAGACUUGACAAGACUAACUGGAACACUAGAAUAAAUACCUAGGGACUAAUGGGGAAAACGGGUGACACCUGGAGGUGGGUGGAGACAAUCACAAAGACAGGUGAAACAGAUCAGGUCGUGACAUUAAUAAUAAGACAAAUCUAUUGGUUUUCUACCCAAAGUUGCAAAGGAAAUGUUGUGAUCCAUUUAAUAAACACAAGAGACCAGCAAAAUGUAUAAAAGAGUGUGGAUGUCACGUCCUGACCAGCAGAGGGAGUAGUUGUUUAGUAAUUUGGUCAGGACGUGGCAGAGGGAUGUUUGUUUUGUAUGGUGGGGGUUUGUGUGUGUUGUAGAGGGGUGUUUGAUUUAUGUCUUCCUGGGUUUUGGGUGUAUGUUCUAGGUUAGUAUGUUCUAGGUUGUAUUUCUGCAUUCUGUCUAGUUUAGGUUUUCUAUGUUUAGGUUUGGGUGCUGGACUCUCAAUUGGAGGCAGGUGUUUCUCGUUGCCUCUGAUUGAGAGUCCUAUAUAUGGGUAAUUGUUUGGUUUAGUGUUUGUGGGAGAUUGUCUCUUGUUUUGCGUGUGUGAGCCUGACAAGACUGUUUUGUUGUUCGUGAGUUCUUCGUAUUUUGGUGUUUUCUUGACUUAAAAUAAAUAUAAGAUGAGCAUCCACAUUCCUGCUGCGUUUUGGUCCUCCAUUCCCGACGACAACCGUUACAGUGGGGGUAUAGCAGGAACAGUGGCAUCUAGUGGUAAAAAUAUGGUACUUUCACAAUACUUUUUGGUAAAUAAUGUAAGUGACUUGAAUUAGCUUAAUUUCUCAGAGUUCAAAUUCUACUUCAACAAAAUAAUUUUACUAGCUUCAGAAACGAUUUCAGAACAAUUUGAGAUGGUGGGUGUCGAAAUCCUCUUUCUUGUGUUUGAGGUGGCACCUACCAACAUACCCCGUUCAAAGGCACAAUAUCUUUUGUCUUUCCCAUUCACCCUCUGAAUGGCAUACAUAGACAAUCCAGUGCAGGCCACCGCCGGAGGCUCCGGGAUGCAGGCCGCCGCCGGAGGCUCCGGGCUGCAGGCCGCCUCAGGAGGUUCCGGGCUGCAGGCCGCCUCAGGAGGUUCUGGGCUGCAGGCCGCCAGAGGAAGUUCCAGGCUGCAGGCCGUCGCUGGAGGUUCCGGACUGUAGGGCGUCACUGGAGGCUCCAGAUUGGGAGCGUCGCUGGAGGCUCCGGACUGGGGAGCGUCGCUGGAGGCUCCGGACUGGGGAGCGUCGCUGGACGUUCCGGCCCGGGGACCGUCGCUGCAGUCUCCGUGCCAUGGAUCAUCACUACAGGUUCCGCGCCAUAGAUCAUCACCAGAGGCUUCUUUCGUGGAGCUGGAACAGGUCUCACUGGACUGGGGAGAUGCACUGGAGACCGGGUGCGUAGAGCUGGCACAGGGUAUACUGGGCCGUGGAAGUGCACUGGAGGGAGAGUGCGAGGAGGAGGCACAUGCUCACCACGAUAAGCACGGGGAGUUGACUCAGGUCUCAACGCUGACUCCGCCAAUCUACCCAUGUGCCCCACCCCCCCUCCCCAAAAUGUUGGGGCUGCCUCUCGUGCUUCCCCGGCAGGCUUCUGUAUCUCUCCAAUACUUUCCCCCAAGUCCAGUCUAUCCUCUCUCGCAACUCCUCCAGAGACCAGGAAUCCAUCUCCUCCCGGGCACGCUGCUUGAUCCAGUUGUGGUGGGUAGUUCUGUAACGCUCGUCAAAAGGAGUAGACCAAGAUGCAGCGUGGCACGUGUUCAUGAUCUUUUAUUAGAAUCUAACAAACACUCAAACAAAAAAUAACAAAGGGAAAACGAAAGCGCACAGUUCUGUCAGGUACAGAAAACUAAACAGAAAACAACUACCCACAAACACAGGUGGAGAAAAACCCUACUUAAGUAUGAUCUCCAAUUAGAGACAACGAGGACCAGCUGCCUCUAAUUAGAAAUAGAACACUAGAACCUAAACAUAGAAAUACAAAACAUAGAAAAACACCCCCUGUCACACCCUGACCACUCUACCAUAGAAAAUAACAGCUUACCAUGGUCAGGACGUGACACAUUGGCUCAUAAAAGUACCCUUUAACUUCCUUCAUACUGGACACAGAGACAUACAAAUGGUAUGUACGAGUUCAUCUGACUCUGUGGAAGUAGUCCCGGAUCCAGGAUGACCCGGGCAGGCACCCCCGCCCGCUAAUCGGGGUCGUAGCCCUCCCAGUCCACCAGGUACUGCAGGGUGCCUCGAUCCCAACUGAGGGGGGGGGGCGAACCCGAACUGACACUUAAACGGCGACAGUCCAGUGGACGAGUUCGGCAGUAUGUGUUGUGAGCAUACUCCACCCAGACGAGGAACUUGCUCCAGUUGCUGGCCUGAGUGGAGACGAAACAGUGGAGGAACUUCUCCAGCUCCUGGUUGGCCCGCUCCGUUUGCCCAUUUGACUGUGGGUGGAAUCCCGAGGAGAGACUCACGACGCCCCCAACAGGGAGCAGAAGGCUUUCCAAUACCGUGCGAUGAACUGGGGCCCACGAUCCGAGACAAUGUUCUGGGAAAGUCUGUGUAGUUGAAAGACAUGGGUAAUCAUGAGAUCAGAGGUCUCCUUCAAUGAGGGCAACUUGGGUAAGGCAAUGAAAUGGGCUACCUUGGAGAAUGGAUCAACAACCAUCAGGAUACUGGUAAGCCCUUGUGAUGGAGGUAACUCUGUGAUAGUCUAUGGACAGGUGGGACCAGGGCCGGCUGUGGAUGGGCAGAGGUUGGAGCAACCCAGCCCGUCGCUGUAGUGAAGACUUGCUUUAGGCACAGGUGGAACAGGCCACAGCAAAGGAUCUCACAUCCUCAAUAAUAUUGGGCCACCAGAAUUUCCACCUCAGGAACUCCAGUGUCCGAUUAACUUCUAUGGGAAACGUAGGACGUGAGCGUCCCACUCUAUUUAACAGCCAGUGGAAGACCGUGGCGCGAAAUACAAAAACCUUAAAUAUGCUAUAACUUCAAUUUCUCAAACAUAUUACUAUUUUACACCAUUUGAAAGACAAGACUCUGGUUAAUCCAACCACAUUGUCCGAUUUCAAAAAGGCAUUACAGCGAAAGCAAAACAUUAGAUUAUGUCAGGAGAGUACCCAGCCAGAAAUAAUCACACAGCCAUUUUCAAAGCAAGCAUAUAUGUCACAAAAAAACAAACCACAGCUAAAUGCAGCACUAACCUUUGAUGAUCUUCAUCAGAUGACACUCCUAGGACAUUAUGUUAUACAAUACAUGCAUGUGAUGUUUAGAACUAUCAUACCCACCCAAAAAUUCCAGUGAAUUUACUAAAUUACUCAGCAUAAACAUUUACAAAAUACAUAACAAUUAUUUUAAGAAUUAUAGAUACAGAACUCCUUUAUGCAAUCGCGGUGUCAGAUUUUAAAAUAGCUUUUCGGCAAAAGCACAUUUUGCAAUAUUCUGAGUGCAUAGCUCGGCCAUCACGGCUAGCUAUUCAGACACUCGCCAACGUCGAGGCUCAGUAAACUCAGAAUUACUAUUACAAAAAUUGGAUUACCUUUGCUGUUCUUCGUCAGAAUGCACUCCCAGGACUUCUACUUCAACAACAAAUGUUGUUUUGGUUCCAAAAAAUCCAUAGUUAAAUUCAAAUAGCUCCGUUUUGUUCGUGCGUUCAGGUCACUAUCCAAAGGGUGACGCGCGGGCGCAUUUCGUGACAACAAAUUUCAAAAUGUUCCUUUACCGUACUUAGAAGCAUGUCAAACGCUGUUUAAAAUACAUUUUUAUGCGAUGUUUCUCGUAAAAUAGCGAUAAUAUUCCAACUGGACAACUUUGUAUUCAUUCAAACAGAGAAAGAAAAACAUGGUGGUCUCUCAUGACCGCGCAUUUCCAGGCUCUGAGCCACCAAGCUGACCACUCACAAACACCAAGCUGACCACUAUGCAUCCUGAACCUUGCCCAGAGACAGCAGACGCCGCAAUCCACUUUCUGGCGCCUUCAGAGAGCCAAUGGAAGCCUUAGAACGUGUCACGUAACCCCAAAGAUACUGUAUUUUUGAUAGAGAUGCAACAGUUGGACCACAAAUUGUCAGACAGGCCACUUCCUGCUUGUAAUCUUCUCAGGUUUUUGGCUGCCAUAUGAGUUCUGUUAUACUCACAGACACCAUUCAAACAGUUUUAGAAACUUUCGAGUGUGUUCUAUCCAAUAUACUAAUUAUAUGCAUAUUCUCAUUUCUGGAAAAGAGUAGUAACCAGUUUAAAUCGGGUACAUUUUUUAUCCGGCCGUGAAAAUACUGCCCCCUUGCCCCAACAGGUUAACCCCUGGAUGCCCAGUUAAUUUAGAGGAGUGUCCCCAUUGUAGUACUCGGGAACGGGUUGAUCGCGGAACGUAAAGUCUGUUAGUGGGUCCCCCGCCGGGGUCAGGUUCUCAGGUCUGGGCUUGUUGGACCAUGGUCUCAAUACCCCAUAUCACAGGGGCCACAAUGCGGGAGCUGGGGAUGAUGGGCUCGGAGUCCCUCUCCUAAUUAGAGACAUUGAGGCGGGACGGGGCGUCUGCUUUCUGAUUCUUGGAUCCCGGGCGAUAGGCUUGUGUGAAAUCGAACCUGUUAAAAAUCAGAGCCCACCUAGCCUGGCAAGCGUUCAACCUCUUGGCUUUUUGAAUGGAGAACAAGUUCUUAUGGUCCAUCCAGAUUACAAAAGGAUGAGGUGCCCCCUCCAACCAGUGUCUCCACCCCUCAAGGGCCCACUUAACUGCCAAGAGCUCCCGGUUGCCUACAUCGUAGUUGCGUUCCACUAUGAGUACCAAAUUCUUGUCCUCCUCGUUCCUCUGUGAAAGGACCACCCCUGCUCCGGUGUCCAAGGUGUCCACCUCUACCACAGGAUGUACGAGGAUGUGUCCAGUGGUGAAACAUCCCUUGAGUUCCAUGAAUGCACUGUCAGCCUCGGGAGUCCAGAAAAAACGGGUCUGGGAAUGCGGGUUAGGACCGUGAGAGGCGCGCUGCGUAUAAAACGGCUGUAAAAAUUGGUAAACCCAAGGAACCGCUGGACCUGCUUGAGUUUGGUGAAACGGAGCCAGCCGGCGACCACCUCAACCUUUACGGGGUACAUUUGGAUGACUGAGAUAAUGUGACCCAGGAAGAAAACUUGGGAUUCAUAGUAGAAGGAUGAUUGAAACCUGCCUCCAGCAACUCCCGGAUGUCCAUGACUGCUGCUUCAGGGGUCAAGGGAGAGUACAUACGGCUCCGGGGAUGUAUGGGUUAUGUAGCUCUAGCCAGGGGUACCCUAGGAUAAGGGGGUUCUCCGGAGCAGUGAUCAAAAGAAAACUAAGAGUCUGAGUGAUUCACCCCAACCUGCAGUAGAACGGGCUUGGUCUGAUAUUCCACCUGACCGAAGCCAAUUGGCCGUCCAUCGAGGUCUUGAAUCUGCAGAGGCAUGGGACACUUCACACAGGGGAUGUGUAAUUCUCUGGUAAAGUCCUGAUCAAUUAAAUUAUCUGUGGCCCCAGAGUCCAUGAAGGCUUGAAUCUGGCGCAGACGGUUGUCCCAGUGGAGGGUUGCGGGUAGUGACAGACGGUGACUGGGUAACCGGGAGGUAACUGCACAGCUCGUCAGGGUCUCCCCUUGUCCUGGCGAGCCCUGGCAUUUUCCCGUCAACUCUGGGCAUGUAGAACGGAGAUGCCCAAGACCUCCGCAGUAGAGGCAGCAGUUACAUUCCUUUGGGCUCAGACGUGUGCAUCCCAGCUGCCUGGACUCCCAAUGCUGGGCUCGGGGUGCGUGGGGUGCUCCGGAAACCGGGAUAUGGGGGUGGUGUCAAAAAGGGGCUGUCUCACACGUUCUCAGAUGCGGUUGUCAACCUGAUGGCCAGCGUUAUCAGGGACUCGAGGUCCUUUCCCAGUUUCCAAGUGGCCAGUUCAUCCUUGAUGGAGUAAGCCAGAGAGCGGUGACCAGUGCCUCAGUAUUCCACCCACUCUCAGUGGCGAGGGUGCGGAACUCUAUGGCGAAGUCAGCCACUGGUCUGGCCCCUUGGCGGAGGUUGAACAGUUGGCUUGCCGCUUCUGGUCCGCCAACUAGGUGGUUGAAGACUUGGAAGUAAACUCUAAUAUGGAGCUGAAGGAUGGUAGCUGCUGUUCCCACCCCAUCGUUGCCAAAGCCAGGGUCUUGCCCAAGAGUAGACUGAUGAUGUAGGCGAUCAUGGCCCGAUCGGUGUGGAACGAGGAGGACUGUAGCUCGAACACCAGAGAACACUGAGUGAGGAACCCAUUGCAUCCUCCCGGGUGGCCUUCACACCGCUCGGGGGCUGGAGUUCGCUGGAGGAACUUCGGCGACGCCUGUAACACUGGGCGAUGAGACUUGGGCAUUGUCUACUCCUGGGUUAGGGUUGGGCCGUGGUUGGAGGGAAUCAGUAAGUGUCCAGAGAGUCUCUGAUAUUUGGGAGUUGUUCUUGCUGCCGCCCCAGCAGUGCUCUUUGUUGGGUCAUAGCAUUCUGGAUCUGGGUGAUCUCUGCUGGGUCCAUGUUGAGGCAGAUUAUAGCUGUGACAUGGUAAGGUUGGACCCAGGUGCAGAGAAGGGACCAGAUGAGGAAUCAGUGGUUAAGGAUAAACAUGAUACUUUACUGAGAAACGGUAGCAGCAGGUUCAGAGUACACUAGAAAAAACAACAAACAGACAACAGAAAACACACUUCUUUUAACAGGGAAAUCAUAAUGAGUAAAUUGGACACACCUGAGUUUCGUUAAUGUCUCUAGGACGGUCUUGGUUGCCUUCUGGUGACAGAUGGAACCAUGACACUUAUUGCCAAAAUCCCAAAGUUUCCCUUGAACAAUUUCCAAUUAAAAAUGUAGAGAAACACAUUUACACAAAGAAUAGAGCAGAUGUAAAGUUUGGUAAUAAAAUGACAGCAAAAUCUCACUCAGCAUUUUAUGUGACCACGUUUUCUACUCCGAAUUAAGAUUUGAAGAUGUCUGCAGAAAGAAUGGGGUGUCAGCUAUGACAUGACACCUUGAGUUUGAAAAAAUCUAUUUUGGUUAUUGAACUACAAUAAGUGAAGUGGAUUAACACCCAAUAACAGAGUGAUGGUAACAGAAUGUCAUCAUGGGUGCCUGAUCUGUACUACACAUAAAGGCCUAAUUAUUAAUGUUAUUCUCUUUGUUUUGUUUUUCUUUUACCUUUUAUUUAACUAGACAAGUCAGUUAAGAACAAAUUCUUAUUUACAAUGACGGCCUACCCCAGCCAAACUCGGACAACGCUGGGCCAAUUGUGAGCCGCCCUAUGGGACUCCCAAUCACAGCCGGAUGUGAUGCAGCCUGGAUUCAAACCAGGUACUGCAGUGACGCUUCUUGUACUGAGAUGCUGUGUCUUAGACCACAUCGCCACUCGGGAGCCCCUUUGCAUGUUUGGGUAUUAUUCUACUCACUGGCUAUUAUUCUAAUGAGGUCCGCCCGGAAACCCGUCAAAAUGUGGUUGAUCCGGACCGCACCAAAUCUGUACCAGUCAUAGAUGUCUACAGUAUGUUUCACAAAUUUGGACAUCACAGUACAGCACUGUAGAGCACAGUAGAGUACAGCACAGUACAGUAGAGUAUAGUUCAAUACAGUACAGUAGAGUUAAGUUUAGUACAGUACAAUAGUAUUACAGUGGGACUGUUGUACAGUGCCCUCUGUAAUUAUUGUGACAGCGAAGCAUUACAUUUUUUUGUCUCUAUACUUCAAAAGUUUGGAUUUGAAAUCAAACAAUGACUUUGAGGUUAAAGUGCAGACUGUCAGCUUUAAUUUUAGGGUAUUUUCAUAUGCGGUGAACUAUUUAGAAUUUACAGCACUUUUUGUACAUAGUCCCCCCAUAUUAGGCCACCAAAAGUAUUGGGACAAAUUCACUUAUUUGUGUAUUAAAGUAGUACAAAGUAAAGUAUUUGGUCCCAUAUUCACAGCACGCAAUGACUACAAGCUUUUGACUGUAAACAUUUUUUGGAUGCAUUUGCUGAUUGUUUUUGGUUGUGUUUCAGAUUAUUUUGUGCCCAAUAGAAGUUAAUGGUAAAUAAUGUAUUGUGUCAUUUUGGAGUAAUUUUUAUUGUAAAUAAGAAUAUAAUACAUUAAUGUGGAUGCUAAGAUGAUCAAGAAUAAUCCUGAAUGAAUCGUGAAUAAUGUUAAGUGAGAAAGUUACAGACGCACAAAUAUCAUACAGACAUUCUAACACUCCAACCAGUCACUGAUCAGUGUCUGUGCAGUUACUGUACUGUAUUGUACUGACCUAUACUUUUCUUUACUGUACUGCACUGUGUUCGACUGUACUGUUGUGUGCUAUCUAAACUUGUGAAACAGACAUCUAUGAUUGCUUCACUGACCAAAUUUCAACUACUUUUCAACAUUCAAUGGAAGUCCUUUCGGUGCUCAGUGGGUGAGGGGGCUGGUUACGGUAAAUGGAAAGAGAGGGGGCUAAUGGGUAGGUGUCAGUAAGAGCCGAGAGAGGUGACAUUAACUGGAGAGAGGGAGAAGAGAGGCCGGGAGAGAGAGAGGUAGGGUUGUCCAGACUGUUUUCACACUUGUUUUGGCAACCACAUGACAGAAAGAGAAAGGAAACUGUUGUGAGCUGAACAGUGGAAGGGAGGACAGUAGCAGGUGACCCAAUUAUGGUUUGUGACUAGUAAGAAUUCACAUUGUAGCCAAUUCUGUUACAGAUUUUGGGGUCAUUCUGUUACUGAUUUGGUAACAGAAUGAUGCUUUUUAUUCACUUAAUAAAUCAUAAACUAAAUUGUUAUCAG